rnacentral:SRP_RNA from 1 species
CCUGCAGGGUAGUGCGAGAAGGCCGUGAACCCGGUCAGACCCGGGAGGGAGCAGCCGUAAGCGUUACCUUUCUGUGAUACUGCCCUGCGCUUUU